rnacentral:rRNA from 1 species
AGUGAACGCUGGCGGUAGGCCUAACACAUGCAAGUCGAACGGCAGCACAGUAAGAGCUUGCUCUUACGGGUGGCGAGUGGCGGACGGGUGAGGAAUACAUCGGAAUCUACUUUUUCGUGGGGGAUAACGUAGGGAAACUUACGCUAAUACCGCAUACGACCUACGGGUGAAAGCAGGGGAUCUUCGGACCUUGCGCGAUUGAAUGAGCCGAUGUCGGAUUAGCUAGUUGGCGGGGUAAAGGCCCACCAAGGCGACGAUCCGUAGCUGGUCUGAGAGGAUGAUCAGCCAACAUGGAACUGAGACAAGGUCCAGACUCCUAAGGGAGGCAGCAGUGGGGAAUAUUGGACAAUGGGCGCAAGCCUGAUCCAGCCAUACCGCGUGGGUGAAGAAGGCCUUCGGGUUGUAAAGCCCUUUUGUUGGGAAAGAAAAGCAGCAGGUUAAUACCCCGCUGUUCUGACGGUACCCAAAGAAUAAGCACCGGCUAACUUCGUG